rnacentral:rRNA from 1 species
AGUCGGGACCUAAGCUGAGGCCGAAAGGCGUAGGUGAUGGACAACAGGUUGAUAUUCCUGUACUACCGAUAACCGUUUGAGAGAAGGGAUGACACAGUAGGAUAAGCUAAGCACACUGUUGGUUAUGGGUGCCCAAGCAUUGAGGCAGUCAAAGUAGGCAAAUCCGCUUUGAUAAUGCUGGGAUGUGAUGGGGAGCGAAAUUUAGUAGCGAAGUAGCUGAUUUCACACUGUCAAGAAAAGUCUCUAUCGAGGUUAAAGGUACCCGUACCGCAAACCGACACAGGUGGGUGAGGAGAGUAUCCUAAGGCCA